rnacentral:ncRNA from 1 species
CCGGGAACGGCGCGACCGCAAAUCUGACUCGCCCAUCUGGGCUUGGGAUUGCGGGAGUGC